UGAAAUAAUAGUUCAAGAAGAAUUUAUAAUUUGCAUUUAUAAGAUAUAGAAUAUCUAUUUGUUUCAU
rnacentral:tRNA from 1 species